rnacentral:lncRNA from 7 species
CCGGCAUCGGAAGUGGUCUGUAUCAACAAACGGGGAGGUGCGAUGUUUCCCACGGUAGACUGCGCUGCCGGAACCCGGAAGGUCACCGCGCCGCGACGCUGGAGCAGGACCCUCCCCCAUCAGCGCCUCCUCAUCGACAUGGCUGACGCAUCCAAUACGGCGACGAGCACCGGUCAGGAAGGUGACGCCCGACGCACCUAUAUUGUGCAAGUCUAGUUUUAUUCUCGUUGGGAAGCAUAACGCUGUCUAUGUUCGAGGCAAGGCAUCCUGAAAAAUGCGUUAACCUUUCCUUACUGCACAAUUUUUAGUUCUUCAUUCAAAUGCGAGAUUGACGUAUAUGUUACUGGUUGUUGUCUUGUCCUGCAGAACUCGUUAACUUUUCCUUAGCGUACAGAUUUUAUUCUGAUUUUCAGUCAAACGCGAGAUUGAUGAUGUACCUGUUAAUGUUUUUUUUGUGUUUCGUCCAGUGUUUACAAUUACUAGUGAUCAGGCUUGUUUUGCAUAUAGAAUGCGUACACAUUCCCAAGCUUUGUUUCUGAUUUCGAGAUUGAUGUACCUGUUGACGUAACUGAAUUAACUGCUUGUGCGGAUGUUGAUUCAUGGAUACCAAGCUGGCAGUAGUUAUUUAAUCUAACGGUUCUUACUCUGAGAUUCAAACUGAAUGCUGUGAUGCUCUCCAUAUUACAAACCGUGGAUUACGCAAAAUGCAUUAAGGAUGAUGCGGGAUUGAACUGUUUUG